rnacentral:lncRNA from 1 species
CUUUGGUUUGGUGGGGCUUGUCGGGUGCUAACCAUUUUAGGGAUUGAAGCAUGAUUCUGUAUCAACAAAAUACUAUAUAAUCCAAAUAUUAUGGGAAGAAAAAGGAAAUCUCUAUGGAUGUUACUUAUUUCAUUAUACAAUCCAAUUAAGACUAGAAUUUAAUCUGAGUUUGAACAGACUUUUAGAAAAUGAAAGAUACAUAGACUAGUAGUCCGAUGCUUAUGCCUUGAU